UAGGGAAUCUUCGGCAAUGGACGAAAGUCUGACCGAGCAACGCCGCGUGAGUGAAGAAGGUUUUCGGAUCGUAAAACUCUGUUGUUAGAGAAGAACAAGGACGUUAGUAACUGAACGUCCCCUGACGGUAUCUAACCAGAAAGCCACGGCUAACUACGUGCCAGCAGCCGCGGUAAUACGUAGGUGGCAAGCGUUGUCCGGAUUUAUUGGGCGUAAAGCGAGCGCAGGCGGUUUCUUAAGUCUGAGGUGAAAGCCCCCGGCUCAACCGGGGAGGGUCAUUGGAAACUGGGAGACUUGAGUGCAGAAGAGGAGAGUGGAAUUCCAUGUGUAGCGGUGAAAUGCGUAGAUAUAUGGAGGAACACCAGUGGCGAAGGCGGCUCUCUGGUCUGUAACUGACGCUGAGGCUCGAAAGCGUGGGGAGCAAACAGG
rnacentral:rRNA from 2 species